AACCAUAGCUAGGGGUGUCUGGGAAACCAGGCUGAGACAGUCCCUUAGAACCUGAGACUGGGUAAUACCAGCGGAGGGAAGCUGUUUAUGCGAGGA
rnacentral:ncRNA from 2 species